rnacentral:rRNA from 1 species
CCUACGGGUGGCUGCAGUGAGGAAUAUUGGUCAAUGGACGCGAGCCUGAACCAGCCAAGUCGCGUGCAGGAUGACUGCCCUACGGGUUGUAAACUUCUUUUAUAAGAGAAUAAAGUCAGGCACGUGUGCCUUUUUGUAUGUACUUUAUGAAUAAGGAUCGGCUAACUCCGUGCCAGCAGCCGCGGUAAUACGGAGGAUCCGAGCGUUAUCCGGAUUUAUUGGGUUUAAAGGGGGCGUAGAUGGGUUGUUAAGUUAGUUGUGAAAGUUUGAGGCUCAACCGUAAAAUUGCAAUUGAUACUGGCAGCCGUGAGUACAGUUGAGGUAGGCGGAAUUCGUGGUGUAGCGGUGAAAUGCUUAGAUAUCACGAAGAACUCCGAUUGCGAAGGCAGCUUACUAAACUGCCACUGACAUUGAGGCUCGAAAGUGUGGGUAUCAAACAGGAUUAGAUACCCGGGUAGUC